rnacentral:misc_RNA from 1 species
GAUGAAGAACGUAGCGAAAUGCGAUAAGUAAUGUGAAUUGCAGAAUUCAGUGAAUCAUCGAAUCUUUGAACGCACAUUGCGCCCCCUGGUAUUCCGGGGGGCAUGCCUGUUCGAGCGUCAUUACAACCCUCAAGCUCUGCUUGGUGUUGGGCCCCGCCGCCCCGGCGGGCCCUAAAAUCAGUGGCGGUGCCGUCCGGCUCCGAGCGUAGUAAUUCUUCUCGCUCUGGAGGUCCGGGUGUGUGCUCGCCAGCAACCCCCAAUUUUUUUCAGGUUGACCUCGGAUCAGGUAGGGAUACCCGCUGAACUUAAGCAUAUCAAUAAGCGGAGA